GGGGGCGAUACGGUCUCGACGUCGGUCUCAAAGCAAAAGGUGCAUGCCGAGAGAGUAGCGGCUCUCGCUAAACAAUCGCUGCAAACCCAUAGUUGCCAACGACGACAACUACGCACUAGCGGCCUAAACCGCCG
rnacentral:tmRNA from 1 species